rnacentral:rRNA from 2 species
CAUGCAAGUCGAGCGGAUGAGUGGAGCUUGCUCCAUGAUUCAGCGGCGGACGGGUGAGUAAUGCCUAGGAAUCUGCCUGGUAGUGGGGGACAACGUUUCGAAAGGAACGCUAAUACCGCAUACGUCCUACGGGAGAAGCAGGGGACCUUCGGGCCUUGCGCUAUCAGAUGAGCCUAGGUCGGAUUAGCUAGUUGGUGAGGUAAUGGCUCACCAAGGCGACGAUCCGUAACUGGUCUGAGAGGAUGAUCAGUCACACUGGAACUGAGACACGGUCCAGACUCCUACGGGAGGCAGCAGUGGGGAAUAUUGGACAAUGGGCGAAAGCCUGAUCCAGCCAUGCCGCGUGUGUGAAGAAGGUCUUCGGAUUGUAAAGCACUUUAAGUUGGGAGGAAGGGCAUUAACCUAAUACGUUAGUGUUUUGACGUUACCGACAGAAUAAGCACCGGCUAACUUCGUGCCAGCAGCCGCGGUAAUACGAAGGGUGCAAGCGUUAAUCGGAAUUACUGGGCGUAAAGCGCGCGUAGGUGGUUUGUUAAGUUGUAUGUGAAAGCCCCGGGCUCAACCUGGGAACUGCAUCCAAAACUGGCAAGCUAGAGUAUGGCAGAGGGUGGUGGAAUUUCCUGUGUAGCGGUGAAAUGCGUAGAUAUAGGAAGGAACACCAGUGGCGAAGGCGACCACCUGGGCUAAUACUGACACUGAGGUGCGAAAGCGUGGGGAGCAAACAGGAUUAGAUACCCUGGUAGUCCACGCCGUAAACGAUGUCGACUAGCCGUUGGGAUCCUUGAGAUCUUAGUGGCGCAGCUAACGCAUUAAGUCGACCGCCUGGGGAGUACGGCCGCAAGGUUAAAACUCAAAUGAAUUGACGGGGGCCCGCACAAGCGGUGGAGCAUG